rnacentral:rRNA from 1 species
UACGUACCGGACGAACGUUAUUCGGAAUCACUGGGCUUAAAGAGUGCGUAGGCGGCCCAGCAGGUGAGGUGUGAAAUCCCACGGCUCAACCGUGGAAUUGCGCUUCAAACCGCUGGACUGGAGGGAGACAGGGGUGAGCGGAACUGAUGGUGGAGCGGUGAAAUGCGUUGAUAUCAUCAGGAACACCAGUGGCGAAGGCGGCUCACUGGGUCUCUUCUGACGCUGAGGCACGAAAGCUAGGGGAGCGAACGGG